rnacentral:rRNA from 1 species
CCUACGGGUGGCAGCAGUGGGGAAUAUUGGACAAUGGGGGGAACCCUGAUCCAGCCAUGCCGCGUGUGUGAAGAAGGCCCUCGGGUUGUAAAGCACUUUCAGUGAGGAAGAACGCCUGGUGGUUAAUACCCAUCAGGAAAGACAUCACUCACAGAAGAAGCACCGGCUAACUCCGUGCCAGCAGCCGCGGUAAUACGGAGGGUGCGAGCGUUAAUCGGAAUUACUGGGCGUAAAGCGCGCGUAGGUGGCUUGAUAAGCCGGUUGUGAAAGCCCCGGGCUCAACCUGGGAACGGCAUCCGGAACUGUCAAGCUAGAGUGCAGGAGAGGAAGGUAGAAUUCCCGGUGUAGCGGUGAAAUGCGUAGAGAUCGGGAGGAAUACCAGUGGCGAAGGCGGCCUUCUGGACUGACACUGACACUAAGGUGCGAAAGCGUGGGUAGCAAACAGGAUUAGAUACCCUUGUAGUC